GAUUCCGUAGUGUAGUGGUUAUCAAGUGUGCCUAACACGCACAAGGUCCCCGGUUCGAGCCCGGGCGGAAUCA
rnacentral:tRNA from 1 species